UACGUAGGGUGCGAGCGUUGCCCGGAUUUAUUGGGCGUAGAGGGCGCGUAGGCGGUCACGCACGUCCGUUGUGAAAUCGCUCGGCUCAACUGGGCGGGGUCAGCGGAUACGGCGUGGCUGGAGCAAGCUAGGGGGCAAUGGAAUUCCCGGUGUAGUGGUGGAAUGCGUAGAUAUCGGGAGGAACACCAGUGGCGAAGGCGGUUGCCUGGAGCUUUGCUGACGCUGAUGCGCGAAAGCGUGGGGAGCGAACAGG
rnacentral:rRNA from 1 species